rnacentral:rRNA from 1 species
CCUACGGGAGGCAGCAGUGAGGAAUAUUGGUCAAUGGGCGCGAGCCUGAACCAGCCAAGUCGCGUGAGGGAUGACGGUCCUACGGAUUGUAAACCUCGUUUGCCGGGGAGCAAGCGUGCGUGCGUGAACGCGCGUCGAGAGGACCCGGAGAAAAAGCAUCGGCUAACUCCGUGCCAGCAGCCGCGGUAAUACGGAGGAUGGGAGCGUGAUCCGGAUUGAUUGGGUUGAAAGGGUGCGUAGGCGGGAUGCCAAGUCAGCGGUAAAACUGCGGGGCGCAACGCCGUCGGGCCGUUGAAACUGGCGUUCUUGAGUGGGCGAGAAGUAUGCGGAAUGCGUGGUGUAGCGGUGACAUGCAUAGAUAUCACGCAGAACUCCGAUUGCGAAGGCAGCCUACCGGCGCCCUACUGACGCUGAGGCACGAAAGCGUGGGUAUCGAACAGGAUUAGAUACCCCAGUAGUC